rnacentral:rRNA from 1 species
AGAGCGAACGCUGGCGGCAGGCCUAACACAUGCAAGUCGAGCGCCCGUAGCAAUACGGGAGCGGCAGACGGGAUAGUAACACGUGGGAACGCGCCCUUCGGUUCGGAAUAACUCAGGGAAACUUGAGCUAAUACCGAAUACGCCCUUACGGGGAAAGAUUUAUUGCCGAAGGAACGGCCCGCGUCCGAUUAGCUUGUUGGUGAGGUAGUGGCUCACCAAGGCGACGACGGGUAG